ACUCAAAACAAGAACAACCAUUUCCUUUCAAUAAGUUUCGUAUGAACAAAACUCCCUCCAAAAACGAGUUUUCUUGCAAAGCAGCAUCUUCUGGCUCGACAGCUGAGUACACAAUGGAAAACCUACGAAACAACACAAAUAGGGAUGAAACAAAGAAGAAAACUACUUAU